CGUUGUGAAAUUCUAUCCACAUAAAGAAAAUGAGUUUGGAGGAAGAUGUGAAGCUUAUGCAAGUAGCAAAGUGCAUCGAACUCUUCACAGGUGCAGAUCGAGAAGGUUUAUGUACUGAAGCAGGCAUGCUUGCUCUCAGAGAAGAGAUAACUUCAGGUUUAGAUAUCUGUAAUUCUCAAGCAAGAUGUUGAAUGACAUUGAAGUAUCAUCAAUCACAAAUUGCUAGCACUCCUCCACGACCUCUUGGUUCUGGAGCAGGACCUAGCCCUGGGUAGGCACCAGCUCUUGGUAAUGUCAAAAGACAAUCUGGUAGUUGAUUUUGCUAACUGUUCAUUUAGGAGUCUUCUGUUAAAUUUGUUACAUCUAAUUAUGUCGUAGAAUACAUCCUGUUUCACUUUUUUUAUUAAAAAAUU